AACACGCAGCUGAGUUUGGGCCUGGAGUCCCCCGUGCAGAAGCCAGAGCCGUGUCCCGGUGGGUCCACACUCCACCCUCCAGCACCAGGUUCCCCUCUCCACCAGCGACUGCUCCCGCGUCCGGUCCCCCUGGAGGAGGGACCACCGGUGGGGCCCCCGCCUGACAUAGCGCCCUGAAAAAGUCCCUGAAAGAGUCUGCUCAGCCCGAGGGCCACCCAGGACUCCAUGAUGAAGCGGCUGCUCACCCUGACAGAGAAGUGAUGAGCAAGCAGCUCGCUGUCCAGGGGUCUGACCUGUUAGGGGGUUUGCAGCAGGUGGCUCCGCGGAGUCAGAAAGACCCCAAAUCUGGGCAAGUCACUCCACUCUGCCUCGGUUUACUCAACUGUAAACUGGGGAUAAUGAUCCCCGUGACACUCCCUUCGCAGGGCUGGCCAUGUGGGAUUUGCCCCAGAGCCAGGUGGGACUUCAGAGACCCAUUUUACAGAUGAGGGGACAGAAGCUCUGGGAAGUGAUUAGCUGCCCCCUACAAAGGCUUUCUUACAUCCUUCCUACCCUGGAGACACCUCCACCCACCACCCUCUGAGGGGACUGUGAGCGCUCAGACCAGACAGCCUGAGGGUGUUCCAGCCUCCCUGCCUCCUCCCUCCCCCAGGCAGCCCGAGGAUGUUCCAGCCUCCGCUGCCUCCUUUCCCGACUUCUCCUCCCCAGCUCCCUGAUGGGUGCCCUUCCCCCGUGCCAGCACCCUGGCAGUACCAGGCAGGGAGUCUGCAGAAGCACUCUGACCGCCUCCCCGCCCCCAGCCGCAGCCCCAGGAGAUCACGCAGUCUCCAUGCGGCCCAGGAUGAUGAAUGGCCGGGCGAGUCCCAGAUAGCCCAUCUGCUCCUCCAGGACUUGUUCCCAGCUUAGCCAAAUGGCAAACAUCUGGGAAUGAGCCUCCCUCCCACGGCCUGGGCUUGGGGGAGCCUAAGGCCCUUCAGAGGCCUGCAGGAGCUGCAGAGGGGCCUUUCCAGGCUUCCUGCCCUCAGCCAGCAGCCCCCGGAUUAAGCUUGCGGGAAGCCCGCUGGGCCAGGGGAGGGAAGCAGCAGGGCCCUGGGCCUGGAGGUGGUGGCUGGGGACAGCGGCCUUAGGGAAGGGGUUUGGGAAGCCUCUCCCCUCCUGCUGCCCUCCUGGGGAGGGCGACCCGGCCCACAAAGGAACAGUGAGAACGUGGGGCAUAUACCGGACACAAGUGCCCCACAGUCUGGCUCAGCCUUUUUUGUCCUGCACGGGGAGCUGGCCGAGCCUCAAAGCUGGUCCUGAGCCAGCCAGCCUGGGGAGGGGGGGGAGGCAGGCCCCAAGUACCUUAUACAUGUGAAACGUGACUAAUUGCUAUUUUCUCUCUCUUCUGCGGGAAGAGCCGCAAAACACUCCAGGAAGAAGUUGUACUAUGGACAACAUCUGGGAAGGUGGAGAGCCUAGACAGGGAACAGAUCUACCUCCUUCCUGUUCUACUGGGGGAAGGCAUUUAUAUAACACCUACUGUGUACCAGGCACUUUUCAGCUCUUAUCUCCUUGGAGCCUCACAAUGGCCUGGGAGGCAGGUCCUGUUAUUAUUUUACACUGGAGGAAACUGAGAUCUGGAAAGGAUCACAGAAUAGAAUCAAUCACCAAGUGCUAAUAAAACACCUACUAAGGACCAGGCACUGAUGAAGCACCUACUAGGGGCCAGGCACUGAGGAAGCACCUACUAGGGGCCAGGCACUGAGGAAGCACCUACUAGGGGCCAGGCACUGAGGAAGCACCUACUAGGGGCCAGGCACUGAGGAAGCACCUACUGGGGGCCAGGCACUUAUGAAGCACCUACUGAGGGCCAGGCACUGGCCAGUGCUGGGAAUCCAAGAACAAAGAAUGAUGCCAUCCCUCCUGGGAAGGAGCCGAUUCCUCCCGUAAGGGCUGGUGAGGUCCUUCCCUCCUGGGCUCAUUUCAGACAGUUGGGGGUGAUCCAGAUGGACGAAGGCCCUUCCUGAGACGGGAGUCCAGCAGGCACUGAGGACAGCGUGCAGAGGGGGCUUCAGAGGGGGCUGCAGCGGGGGCUGCAGAGGGGCCUGGGAGAAGCUCUGAGAGGGCCUUGAGGAGCCCCCACCAGGAGGAGCUUGGGGGGGGCCUCCCCUGACCCCAGGCUGAUUGGGGCCUCCUUGGGGGCCAGGCAGGGGUCUCAGACCAGCUGCAGGAGGAGGCGACACCCCAGUGUGAGGAGAGCUUGAGCUUCCUGGCUCCUUUAUAAAGGAUUCCCGGCCCUUUGAUCAUUUGUGGCUUCAGGCACCGCGGGACAGACCUCUGAGCGGGAAAGAAGCAAACAGGAAGCUCCUGGGUCUCUUUGCUGGCUGCCCUGCAGGGCCAGGUGGUCUCCACAGCUGGAGAAGGGCCACGAAGCCCCAUGGAGACGGCCGGGAGGGUGGACUUAGGGCUCCCUCAGCCCCAGGAGGAGAGAACGCGCCUCCAAGGCGGGAGAGCUUGUCCGCAGGACCGCAGAGGGGCCGAGACCCGGGCUGGGCUCUCCGGCCACUAGGAGCCCACCCCCACAGAGCCUAGUGGUUGGUGGUGGGGAGACCCCCGGAUACAUACAUGUCCACGGGUGUCCAUCACCUCCCGUGAGCCCCAUCACGGUCCUCUGCCUACGUCAGCUCUAAUUCACAGGCAGGGAAACUGAGGCUUGCCAGAACGUGUCGGAGGAAGGCUUUGGACCCACCCAGCACUCUGUCAGCUCACCGGACACGUGCAGGGGAGGUCUGGACCCCCACUUACAGGACCCAGGAGAGCCCCUGAAAACCUGAAGGGCCCAACUUUAGAAUCAAAUAAACCCCCAAAGGGAGAAGGCCCUUCAUCGCCAUCCCGGGGAAGGAGAUGGGGCUUCCCCGAGGGUCCCGGUCCGGUGGGCGCAAGACUCUGCACUCCGGCAGGGAUCCAACCCCCUUCCCCUCCAUAGGAUGGUCAAGGAGGCUUUGGGGGAAGUCCUCAGUCUGGGCAGGUGGACAAUGAAGGCCCCCCCCCCAGGUCCCGUCCCAUCCCCAGGGGCAGCGGACAGAGCUGGGCUGGCUCGCCCUGGGGGCGGAGGAGACAGAGCAGCCCCCAGACCGUGAGCUCAGCCACAGACCCUCCCCCUUGGGCCGCAGCCGGCCCGGCCCAUCCCCGCUGAAAUCGUGCUUGGUCUGCUCCAAACAAAACCUCUCGGAGGGACAUCUAAGCCUCCUCCCCUCCCCCUGCGCCGCCCCAGGCCCUGGAGCCCGACCAAAAGCCCGGCCCUUUCUAGAGCGGCCAAGAAGGAGGAGACCCCUCUGGCGCUCGGGCGGCCUCGGAGCCGCUCUGCUCACUGGCGGCAGGGAAUCCUCCCAGGGGCCCCGGGACCACCCAGUCCAAGCUCCGCCCUCCGGCUCGGCAGGACAGCGCAUCUGGGCUCAGAUCCGGUUCUGACCGGCCCGUGACCUCGGCCAAACCCUUCUCUGGGCCUCAACUUCCCCGGCCCGAGCCCUCGGCCCGAUCCAAGCGCAGAUCGGAAAGCUGAGGCCCCAAGAGGGGGCUCGGGAGCACAGCCAAAUGCGGGGCUGCCGGGGCUCUGUCCCCUGUCACUCAGGAGGGCUGGCUCGCUAGCCCCAGGCUGGGCCGCCUUUCAGAGAGCGGGACCGGGCAGAGAGACAGCACCGGACUUGGGGAUACUGGGAGGAGGGCAGCGCUCCCGAGCAGGCUCCGGAAGCCCGUGGGCAGAAGAGGGCAGGUAUGGAGCCCGGGGAGCCCCAGGGCGCCCGGACCGAGGAAUGGAAGCCCUAGGAGGGCGGCCGCCUUCACUCUCGCCCCUGUGUUCCUGAGCCCAGCGGUCUGCCUCACUCGCGCCUGACCAAGGAGCAAAGGGUCCUGCUCUCAAGGCCGGGGGGAGCUGGAGGACUCCUGCCGGCUGCCAGGGGUCCCGGUGGGAAAGCACAAAGCGGGGGCAGAGGGGCAGUGUCAGGCAGAUGCUAGAACAGAGGGCUGCCAACCAUAGAUGGGCACUGAGCAUCAUACACCGACCGCUGCCCUCUUCCUAAGCCCCCUGUCCGCCAGACAGCUCCCUGCUGCCUCCCAACAGCCGUUCCCACUGCUGAUGCCCGGUGAUUACUGAGUAAUCUUGUAUGAAUGAGAAAAAAUCCCUUUCAAAAUGGAUCAAACAGAUCCAUCAAACAGAUGGAUCAACUAGGCCAAAAGAUCCAUCAAACUAGGCAAAUAGAUUCUGGGCAUCUGAAGUCUUGCCUGCCCAAGGAACAUCCACCCUGGUCCAUUGGUGUCCCUGGACCAUUAAUGCAGAACAAGUCACGCUUCUGCCGACCCGAAAGAUCCCCAGAAAGAUUUCACGAAGCAGAGGGGAGUCCUGCGGUGGGAGGGCCAGAUCUGGAAACCCUCUGCCCCUGCCCUGCCCUCCAGCACAAAGUCAUUUGUCCAAGGUCAUGCAGCUGGCGCUGCCCCCACCCCAAAACACCCAGACCCAAGCCACAAGCCGCCUGCCUGCCUCCCUUAAAUAAGCCUUGAUGGGGCUGGGACUGGGGCUGGGGCUGGGGGUGGGUAGGGAGCACUCCGUGCUGCCUCAAGGGCUGACAGCCACCACAUGUUUCCUAGUAAAAUCCUCUGCCUUUGUUCUUUCUCCCACUUCCCUUUCCUGCUCUCUCUAAUCACAUCACUAAGCUCGGAGAACAUAAGGCACAGGAAGGCCCUAAACCCCCAAACCUGCCCCAUGCCCUCCGUGCCAUCUCCCGCAGCCUCAGGGAGGUGGCACUCACCAGGCCCUGCUGCUGUUUCUGCCUGGCCAAGCUGAUGGACAUCCCAGUCACUCCCCCCUCUCACCAAGAUUCUGAACACCAAGGGGGUGUUGGAACAGGACCUGGAAAGCCCCUAGCCCUGAGUCUUAGGAGCUAAGGGAAUGGGGGAGUUUUUCUGGGCCUUGGUUUCCACCCCUGUAAAAUGGGGACGGAGGCGCUCAGACCCGGCCUUCCAAGGCCCCGGGGAGCUCUCGGCCCCACCCACGAUACUAUCGCUCGGUGGCCAGCUGCUUUCUUUCAGCCCUGAUGCGCUCUGCCUUGCCCAGAUCAUGUUACGGAGCAUUUUCGGAGCCAUAAAUUCUUCUAGACGGCCAGAAGGAAUGUG